GACGAACGCUGGCGGCGUGCCUAAUACAUGCAAGUAGAACGCUGAAGCUUGGUGCUUGCACCGAGCGGAUGAGUUGCGAACGGGUGAGUAACGCGUAGGUAACCUGCCUGGUAGCGGGGGAUAACUAUUGGAAACGAUAGCUAAUACCGCAUAAUAGUAGAUGUUGCAUGACAUUUGCUUAAAAGGUGCAAUUGCAUCACUACCAGAUGGACCUGCGUUGUAUUAGCUAGUUGGUGAGGUAACGGCUCACCAAGGCAACGAUACAUAGCCGACCUGAGAGGGUGAUCGGCCACACUGGGACUGAGACACGGCCCAGACUCCUACGGGAGGCAGCAGUAGGGAAUCUUCGGCAAUGGACGGAAGUCUGACCGAGCAACGCCGCGUGAGUGAAGAAGGUUUUCGGAUCGUAAAGCUCUGUUGUAAGAGAAGAAACGAGUGUGAGAGUGGAAAGUCA
rnacentral:rRNA from 1 species